rnacentral:rRNA from 1 species
GACAGAGGGUGCAAACGUUGUUCGGAAUUACUGGGCGUAAAGCGCGUGUAGGCGGCUAUGUAAGUUAGAGGUGAAAGCCCCACGGCUCAACCCGUGGAGGGUCAUUGGAAACUGGGGGGACUUGAGUGCAGAAGAGGAAAGCGGAAUUCCACGUGUAGCGGUGAAAUGCGUAGAGAUGUGGAGGAACACCAGUGGCGAAGGCGGCAUCCUGGACCGAUACUGACGCUGGAGGAGCG